rnacentral:rRNA from 1 species
UACGUAGGGUGCAAGCGUUGUCCGGAAUUAUUGGGCGUAAAGAGCUCGUAGGCGGUGUGUCGCGUCGGCCGUGAAAACCUGCAGCUUAACUGUGGGCUUGCGGUCGAUACGGGCAUCACUGGAGUUCGGCAGGGGAGACUGGAAUUCCUGGUGUAGCGGUGAAAUGCGCAGAUAUCAGGAGGAACACCGGUGGCGAAGGCGGUUCUCUGGGCCUUACCUGACGCUGAGGAGCGAAAGCGUGGGGAGCAAACAGG